GAUGAACGCUGGCGGCGUGCCUAAUACAUGCAAGUCGAGCGAACAGACGAGGAGCUUGCUCCUCUGACGUUAGCGGCGGACGGGUGAGUAACACGUGGAUAACCUACCUAUAAGACUGGGAUAACUUCGGGAAACCGGAGCUAAUACCGGAUAUUAUAUUGAACCGCAUGGUUCAAUAGUGAAAGACGGUUUUGCUGUCACUUAUAGAUGGAUCCGCGCCGCAUUAGCUAGUUGGUAAGGUAACGGCUUACCAAGGCGACGAUGCGUAGCCGACCUGAGAGGGUGAUCGGCCACACUGGAACUGAGACACGGUCCAGACUCCUACGGGAGGCAGCAGUAGGGAAUCUUCCGCAAUGGGCGAAAGCUUGACGGAGCAACGCCGCGUGAGUGAUGAAGGUCUUCGGAUCGUAAAACUCUGUUAUUAGGGAAGAACAAAUGUGUAAGUAACUAUGCACGUCUUGACGGUACCUAAUCAGAAAGCCACGGCUAACUACGUG
rnacentral:rRNA from 1 species